CUGCCGGAGUAGUGAACGCUGCGCUUGGCGCUGGACCAGCGGGGGAUGGGUGGGCCGUGAGGCUUCAUUGGGUCGUUUCCAACUGCCCCGGCAUCGGCGGCGAUGAGUUGGUGCGCCAGCAGACAUGACCGUCCGCGCGCAAGGACCCCAUGAAUCCCGUGUACGCGGCCAAGGUGACCACGCCACUCGCAGCUCCAUCUGGGCUAUCCUCACUGUCAUCGUCGCUUUCGGCCGGUCUCUUUCUUUUCUUUUUGAACACUAUCGAUUGAUGAAGUUGUUUGCCCAAAUUGAUGUCUGAAUGUGCCAAAUCUGCUGCUCUAUAGGUGCCAGCAUCGAUGACAUAAUUUAUCAAUAGUGGGUUCAGUAGUAACUCAAAUCUGUUUCUCUGAAUGUGCCAGCGUGUGAUGGAAUUUAUCAUUGGUGAGUUUGGUAGUAACUCUAAUCUGCUGCUAUGUUGUUUUCAGCCUGGUAAGAUAGUUGUUCCUGCCACUUUCUUAACUAUGUUACCUGUUUUCAGCUAGUGUACAAAAACAAACAAAUUCUAGACAUGCAUGGAAAUAAUACUUGCUUGUUAACCUCUGUUGUAUUGUCAUGAUAGUCGUUGUUAAGCUACAAUGAGAACAUUUUGUCCAACCUUUGUCCUAUAGUGGGUGAUUGUCUUGUGAAAAAUACCUCUGUACUGUACUGUCAUGACACUUUGGUUGGCUUAUCAUAAUUGUAGUUUUUUCCUUCUUAUUACAGUAUAUGCAUCUUACAACAAAGAUGUUUCAAUUCAAUUGCUAUGUGGUCUGCAUGUUCUUCUCAUGUGUGAUCUUUCUUGAUCCCAGGAUAUUCUGCAAUCCAGAAGAACUGGCUACUCAGAAGUGGAUGACAGUGAACAGGAGAAGCUAUGGUUUCUUGAUUUGUUGUUAUGUGUAUGUGUUGUCAUGAAGCAUAGUGGUUCUGGCUUUGUGUAAAAUCAUUAUAAGUAUAGUACCUCUUUAGAGGAGUUUAACGCUGAACUAUGUAUGUGAUUCAUGUACCUGAAGUAUCCACUAUGAUGCCUAUUGCUGAAAACAAUAUAACUAUUUAUUGAUAAUAUUAGUUUCUGGCUGGAAUUAUCUAUGAUGCCUUUUUUGAGGUAAAUCUACG
rnacentral:lncRNA from 1 species